UGGUGGGUUGCCUUGUCAGGUUGAUUCCGGUAACGAACGAGACCUCAGCCUGCUAAAUAGUCACAGUUACUUCUUGUAGCUGGCAGACUUCUUAGAGGGACUAUUGGCGUUUAGCCAAUGGAAGUGUGAGGCAAUAACA
rnacentral:rRNA from 1 species